CCGGACCGGCGCACGGGUGAGUAACGCGUAUGCAACUUACCUAUCAGAGGGGAUAACCCGGCGAAAGUCGGACUAAUACCGCAUGAAGCAGGGGCCCCGCAUGGGGAUAUUUGCUAAAGAUUCAUCGCUGAUAGAUAGGCAUGCGUUCCAUUAGGCAGUUGGCGGGGUAACGGCCCACCAAACCGACGAUGGAUAGGGGUUCUGAGAGGAAGGUCCCCCACAUUGGUACUGAGACACGGACCAA
rnacentral:rRNA from 1 species